GAUGAACGCUGGCGGCGUGCCUAAUACAUGCAAGUCGAACGCGCAGCGAAAGGUGCUUGCACCUUUCAAGCGAGUGGCGAACGGGUGAGUAACACGUGGAUAACCUGCCUCAAGGCUGGGGAUAACAUUUGGAAACAGAUGCUAAUACCGAAUAAAACUUAGUAUCGCAUGAUACAAAGUUAAAAGGCGCUACGGCGUCACCUAGAGAUGGAUCCGCGGUGCAUUAGUUAGUUGGUGGGGUAAAGGCUUACCAAGACGAUGAUGCAUAGCCGAGUUGAGGGACUGAUCGGCCACAUUGGGACUGAGACACGGCCCAAACGCCUACGGGAGGCUGCAGUAGGGAAUCUUCCACAAUGGGCGCAAGCCUGAUGGAGCAACGCCGCGUGUGUGAUGAAGGCUUUCGGGUCGUAAAGCACUGUUGUAUGGGAAGAAAUGCUAAAAUAGGGAAUGAUUUUAGUUUGACGGUACCAUACCAGAAAGGGACGGCUAAAUACGUGCCAGCCGCCGCGGUAA
rnacentral:rRNA from 1 species